GUGCAUGUGUGUGUGUGUGUGUGUGUGUGGGUGUGCAUGUGUGUGUUUGUUUGUGCUUUCUUAACGAACAACCAGCUGCAUAUUUAACGGGUGAAUCAAUGUAACCUAAACUUUGCACAGCAGUUUGUGUCAAUU